ensembl:miRNA
UGAUGAGUGGUGUCUGUCGAGUGCCCUUUUUAUGUUGUACUACUAGUGAUCAUGCACAAAAAGCAGUGCAAUGUUAAAAGGGCAUUGGCCAGUGAUACUGUCCACGUU